GUCAGGAUGUCCGAGCCGUCUAAGGCGCUGCGUUCAGGUCGCAGUCUCCCCUGGAGGCGUGGGUUCGAAUCCCACUUCUGACA
rnacentral:tRNA from 1 species